AUGCGGCAGCUACACAUGCAGUCGAGCGGUAGCACAGAGAGCUUGCUCUCGGGUGACGAGCGGCGGACGGGUGAGUAAUGUCUGGGAAACUGCCUGAUGGAGGGGGAUAACUACUGGAAACGGUAGCUAAUACCGCAUAACGUCGCAAGACCAAAGUGGGGGACCUUCGGGCCUCAUGCCAUCAGAUGUGCCCAGAUGGGAUUAGCUAGUAGGUGGGGUAACGGCUCACCUAGGCGACGAUCCCUAGCUGGUCUGAGAGGAUGACCAGCCACACUGGAACUGAGACACGGUCCAGACUCCUACGGGAGGCAGCAGUGGGGAAUAUUGCACAAUGGGCGCAAGCCUGAUGCAGCCAUGCCGCGUGUAUGAAGAAGGCCUUCGGGUUGUAAAGUACUUUCAGCGGGGAGGAAGGCGAUAAGGUUAAUAACCUUGUCGAUUGACGUUACCCGCAGAAGAAGCACCGGCUAACUCCGUGCCAGCAGCCGCGGUAAUACGGAGGGUGCAAGCGUUAAUCGGAAUUACUGGGCGUAAAGCGCACGCAGGCGGUCUGUCAAGUCGGAUGUGAAAUCCCCGGGCUCAACCUGGGAACUGCAUUCGAAACUGGCAGGCUAGAGUCUUGUAGAGGGGGGUAGAAUUCCAGGUGUAGCGGUGAAAUGCGUAGAGAUCUGGAGGAAUACCGGUGGCGAAGGCGGCCCCCUGGACAAAGACUGACGCUCAGGUGCGAAAGCGUGGGGAGCAAACAGGAUUAGAUACCCUGGUAGUCCACGCCGUAAACGAUGUCGAUUUGGAGGUUGUGCCCUUGAGGCGUGGCUUCCGGAGCUAACGCGUUAAAUCGACCGCCUGGGGAGUACGGCCGCAAGGUUAAAACUCAAAUGAAUUGACGGGGGCCCGCACAAGCGGUGGAGCAUGUGGUUUAAUUCGAUGCAACGCGAAGAACCUUACCUGGUCUUGACAUCCACAGAACUUAGCAGAGAUGCUUUGGUGCCUUCGGGAACUGUGAGACAGGUGCUGCAUGGCUGUCGUCAGCUCGUGUUGUGAAAUGUUGGGUUAAGUCCCGCAACGAGCGCAACCCUUAUCCUUUGUUGCCAGCGGUUAGGCCGGGAACUCAAAGGAGACUGCCAGUGAUAAACUGGAGGAAGGUGGGGAUGACGUCAAGUCAUCAUGGCCCUUACGACCAGGGCUACACACGUGCUACAAUGGCAUAUACAAAGAGAAGCGACCUCGCGAGAGCAAGCGGACCUCAUAAAGUAUGUCGUAGUCCGGAUUGGAGUCUGCAACUCGACUCCAUGAAGUCGGAAUCGCUAGUAAUCGUAGAUCAGAAUGCUACGGUGAAUACGUUCCCGGGCCUUGUACACACCGCCCGUCACACCAUGGGAGUGGGUUGCAAAAGAAGUAGGUAGCUUAACCUUCGGGAGGGCGCUACCACUUGAUCUGU
rnacentral:rRNA from 1 species